rnacentral:rRNA from 1 species
ACGAACGCUGGCGGCGUGCUUAACCCAUGCACGUCGAACGGAAAGGCCCUGCUUUUGUGGGGUGCUCGAGUGGCGAACGGGUGAGUAACACGUGAGUAACCUGCCCUUGACUUUGGGAUAACUUCAGGAAACUGGGGCUAAUACCGGAUAGGAGCUCCUGCUGCAUGGUGGGGGUUGGAAAGUUUCGGCGGUUGGGGAUGGACUCGCGGCUUAUCAGCUUGUUGGUGGGGUAGUGGCUUACCAAGGCUUUGACGGGUAGCCGGCCUGAGAGGGUGACCGGCCACAUUGGGACUGAGAUACGGCCCAGACUCCUACGGGAGGCAGCAGUGGGGAAUAUUGCACAAUGGGCGGAAGCCUGAUGCAGCAACGCCGCGUGCGGGAUGACGGCCUUCGGGUUGUAAACCGCUUUCGCCUGUGACGAAGCGUGAGUGACGGUAAUGGGUAAAGAAGCACCGGCUAACUACGU